UCAGACCCAAUUGCAACGGUGAAUACCUAAAUUCAAAAUUUCAGCAGACACUGUGAAAAGCCCGACAUAAACUCGUCGAGAGGGAGUGACGGUGACAGAGUAGAACACUAGACCCCAAAACAAGCAGCAUGAAAUUCCGGUACGCCAUGGUGUGCUCAUCGAACCAGAACCGGAGCAUGGAGGCGCACUCGCUGCUCAAGAGGGAGGGCUUCGAGGUCUCUUCUUACGGAACCGGGGCUCACGUUAAGCUCCCUGGUCCCUCCCUCAGAGAACCCAACGUCUACGACUUCGGUACCCCAUACAAGCAGAUGUACGAAGAUCUCAGGCGCAAAGACUCUGAGCUCUACAAGCGUAACGGUAUUUUACCAAUGCUAAAAAGAAAUUCAACAGUCAAACUGGCUCCUCAGCGUUGGCAAGAGAAUGCUGCUGAUGGUUCCUUUGACGUGGUUUUUACAUUUGAAGAAAAGGUUUUUGAUAUUGUCGUUGAAGAUCUUCACAACCGGGAUCAUGUUCUUCUGAAAACUGUGCUAGUGAUUAAUUUGGAGGUAAAAGAUAACCAUGAGGAGGCAGCCAUAGGAGCUCGGCUUACUUUGGAUCUGUGCCAAGAGAUUGAAGUGUCAGAAUCAUGGGAAGACUCGAUUGAUGAUAUAGUGGCUAAUUUUGAGAAACAGCAGCGGCGGAAGCUAUUGUAUAGCAUCUCCUUCUAUUGAAGAACUAUACCCUCGCCAAAUCUCUUAAAUGCCAACCCUAUUCCUGCUGAUGAUGUUUGUCAUUACCUUCCAUUUUUCUAUCUUACAUGUCGAAUCAGGGCUGAUUUUUUAGGAGCAGUUGAGAGCAUUACUUGCAAAAUAUUCUGCAGGGGUGUCCUUCGUGCUGCAAGGCGCAAGCAUUAGGAAAAUAUGAUUUGAUAUGCAGUCUGAUUGUGGAAAGAGCCAAGCAAUACCCUUUGUAGGAUGUACCAAACUUUUAGCCCUUUUUGACCCUUUUAGUUUCUUCAAAUCGAACUGUUUGAGCACAACCAACUCAUCUGGAUUUUAUUAAUAAAAACAUAUUUUCAGAA